rnacentral:rRNA from 1 species
GACGAACGCUGGCGGCGUGCUUAACACAUGCAAGUCGAACGGAAAGGCCCUGCUUUUGUGGGGUGCUCGAGUGGCGAACGGGUGAGUAACACGUGAGUAACCUGCCCUUGACUUUGGGAUAACUUCAGGAAACUGGGGCUAAUACCGGAUAUGAGCUCCUGCUGCAUGGUGGGGGUUGGAAAGUUUCGGCGGUUGGGGAUGGACUCGCGGCUUAUCAGCUUGUUGGUGGGGUAGUGGCUUACCAAGGCUUUGACGGGUAGCCGGCCUGAGAGGGUGACCGGCCACAUUGGGACUGAGAUACGGCCCAGACGCCUACGGGAGGCAGGAGUGGGGAAUAUUGCACAAUGGGCGGAAGCCUGAUGCAGCAACGCCGCGUGCGGGAUGACGGCCUUCGGGUUGUAAACCGCUUUCGCCUGUGACGAAGCGUGAGUGACGGUAAUGGGUAAAGAAGCACCGGCUAACUACGUG